rnacentral:rRNA from 1 species
AUUGAACGCUGGCGGCAGGCCUAACACAUGCAAGUCGAGCGGUAGAGAGAAGCUUGCUUCUCUUGAGAGCGGCGGACGGGUGAGUAAUGCCUAGGAAUCUGCCUGGUAGUGGGGGAUAACGUUCGGAAACGGACGCUAAUACCGCAUACGUCCUACGGGAGAAAGCAGGGGACCUUCGGGCCUUGCGCUAUCAGAUGAGCCUAGGUCGGAUUAGCUAGUUGGUGGGGUAAUGGCUCACCAAGGCGACGAUCCGUAACUGGUCUGAGAGGAUGAUCAGUCACACUGGAACUGAGACACGGUCCAGACUCCUACGGGAGGCAGCAGUGGGGAAUAUUGGACAAUGGGCGAAAGCCUGAUCCAGCCAUGCCGCGUGUGUGAAGAAGGUCUUCGGAUUGUAAAGCACUUUAAGUUGGGAGGAAGGGCAGUAAAUUAAUACGUUGCUGUUUUGACGGUACCGACAGAAUAAGCACCGGCUAACUCUGUG